AAAAAAAACAUUGAACAUAGACUGAUUCGAUUUCACGGUCCAUCAAAAUGAUCACUCAGCUCUAUAUUUAGCUCUAGUUUUAAUCAUUCGACUGGUUAGGAACGCGAUUAGCUCUGUACAUAAUUUGUGUAUUCAAUCAACUUAGUCAAUUUCAAGUGCUUGCUUACAUACAACUGAGUGACUGUUAUUCAUUUAUUUCUUUCGAUAUUUGUCAUUUCAUUAGCACAAGGGACACCUAAUGCAAGAAGUCUUUGUAUUCAAAAGGUGGUCAUUGGUUCAAAGAAAGCUUAAAAUGUGUUUAUAAAACAUAGACAAUUGAUCGUACGUUAAAAUUGACCAGAAUUUAAUUUUCAGUGAGCAUUAGACAUUUGAUUUGCUGUUAUCAAAACCGAUGUGAUUCCAUUCAAUCCGAGUCGAAGAAAUAACAAGUGUUGAUUUGGACUUUGUACAGAGGUGACGUAUUUUCAUUGAAAAUGGUCACGAAAACGCAUAUUGACUCGAGAGAAUUCAGUCGGAUAGUUAAUAUUUUAGCAGUGUUAUUGCAUUUCCUCCUGAUUUUUCUAGGUGUAGUCAUAUUAGACUACUAUCCACUCAUCGCAAUAAAUUUGUUAUUACAUAUUUGUUACCUUUAUGGGAAUAGCAAACAUAAACUUGGAUUCAUGCUAUUACCGUUAUUUCUGUGGUUUAUCCCCGCUUUUGUCUCAAUUGUUUAUCUAAUUUCUUCGGCCUUCUACCCCGUAUUGUACGCCAAUUGGUAUCUCAUUGUGUGCGCAUGUCUGUUUCUGGGAUUUUUCGUUGCCUGCAUUUUGGCAACAGAUUCAAUUAGCAGAGCUGAUACGAGUAAUCAUUCAAAUGACCCACAGUUAAAUGUGUGCUAUACAGCAGCCAAGCAGUAUGUUCAAGACAACUUAAUUGCCUAAAAAUGUUAACCCAUUUAUUUACUCAAUCAUAAAUGUCUUUGUCUUAGAUAUCUUAAUUUUGGAUUAUUUUUACGA